AACCGGGUUGCGGCAAUCUCACCGAUAAACUAAAACCCCCCUGACCUCCAACACUCGCUUCCAUCGCCGCUGUUCACUCUCCGACGCCGACGUCGGUCAAGAGCGAAGAGGAUCAGAGGUCGCCGUCUCGAUCCCUCAAGAGGAGGCGGAGAGGAGAGGGAUCCUUCUAGGAAAAGGAAGAGGAGCUUGGUUCCUGGAUCCAUGGAGAUGGAGCAGAAGCAGGCAGAGAUCAUUGAUCGUUUCGUCAAGCAGGCGGAGGGCAUGGAGGGUGCUCCCCUUGCCGCACUUGUCCUCGAGGCAACCUCCCAUCCAUCACUCUUCGCCUUCUCGGAGAUCCUCUCAUCCCCCAACAUCGCCAAGCUCCAGGGGACGCGGUUCUCAUCAUCUAUUGAUUUGCUUCGAUUGUUUGCUUAUGGCACAUGGAGUGAUUACAAGAGUAAUGCUGGGGGUCUUCCAACAUUGUUGCCUGAUCAAGUUCUCAAACUAAAGCAAUUGAGUGUACUGACAUUGGCUGAGACAAACAAGGUACUGCCAUAUGAUCAACUUAUCCUUGAGAUAGAUGUUGCAAAUGUAAGAGAACUUGAGGACUUUCUCAUAAAUGAGUGCAUGUAUGCGGGUAUAGUUAAAGGAAAACUGGAUCAACUGCGCAGAUGUUUUGAGGUCCAAUUUGCGGCUGGAAGAGAUCUUAGGCCUGGACAACUCAGCAAUAUGAUAGACACGCUGGCAGACUGGCUGGGCAAUUCUGAUAACCUGCUUCAGUCUAUCCAAGGAAGGAUCAGAUGGGCGGAUAGAAUGAAUGAGGUUGACAAGAUGCAUCGCAAAGAUAUUGAGGACAGGGUGGAAGAUGUUAAGAAGUCCCUCAAGAAGUUUAGCAGGCCGACUUGAACUUACGAGGCCAUGAUGAGACAUAUUUUGAACCUGGAAGAUUAAUGGACCAUGAAGAUCGUAGCAGACCCAAGAGGAGAAGGCACCCUAUGUCGUAGAGACUAGGUGUGAAAUAGAUCUGAGUCGGUGGGGUUUCAGUUCAGUUCUUGCUACCUUGAAGGCAUUCUGGCAUCAAGUGUUCUUUGAAAUCAAAUCUAUACCUUCAAACUGUACCCCCAAUCAAACUCAUCUUUUACUGUUCAUCUCCUUCAUGCAUUCAUUGAACUGAUAGGUUUUGGCUGUAGAUGGCCGAAGACUAGAUAUAUAGAUUUCUUUUUUAAAAAGAAAAAAAAAUAGUUAUUUACUGUAGUAGUAGAUCAGGCAUAGCCAUGUAGCAAUGUUUUAAAUCUUUAUUUUGAUGUUAUUUUCUUUGUGGGACAAUAGAAAGGAUAUGAAAACAGCUUGAGAUCAUCUAGACUAAUGUGUUGCCUUUGGUUAA